UUUUUUAUAUCGAUUCAGCCCAAGAUAGCAGGUGCUUACUGCUUAAUUUCCUGCCGAGGCCCAUCGAAAGUGUUCUUUAAUUUCCCAUUACCAGGUCAGUCUAGUCUGGUUGGGUCGAUCAUUUUCGCUAGCAACGCCCCGGCUACCCCGUCGGGGCAUUGCUUUUGGGCAA
rfam:Roseofilum reptotaenium AO1-A Rreptotaenium_AO1_contig_18_len_274292_cov_428.052, whole genome shotgun sequence.